GAUGAACGCUGGCGGCGUGCCUAAUACAUGCAAGUCGAGCGAACGGACGAGAAGCUUGCUUCUCUGAUGUUAGCGGCGGACGGGUGAGUAACACGUGGAUAACCUACCUAUAAGACUGGGAUAACUUCGGGAAACCGGAGCUAAUACCGGAUGCUAUUUUGAACCGCAUGGUUCAAAAGUGAAAGACGGUCUUGCUGUCACUUAUAGAUGGAUCCGCGCUGCAUUAGCUAGUUGGUAAGGUAACGGCUUACCAAGGCAACGAUGCAUAGCCGACCUGAGAGGGUGAUCGGCCACACUGGAACUGAGACACGGUCCAGACUCCUACGGGAGGCAGCAGUAGGGAAUCUUCCGCAAAGGGCGAAAGCCUGACGGAGCAACGCCGCGUGAGUGAUGAAGGUCUUCGGAUCGUAAAACUCUGUUAUUAGGGAAGAACAUAUGUGUAAGUAACUGUGCACAUCUUGACGGUACCUAAUCAGAAAGCCACGGCUAACUACGUG
rnacentral:rRNA from 1 species